UUAAGCGACUAAGCGUACACGGUGGAUGCCCUGGCAGUCAGAGGCGAUGAAGGACGUGCUAAUCUGCGAUAAGCGUCGGUAAGGUGAUAUGAACCGUUAUAACCGGCGAUUUCCGAAUGGGGAAACCCAGUGUGUUUCGACACACUAUCAUUAACUGAAUCCAUAGGUUAAUGAGGCGAACCGGGGGAACUGAAACAUCUAAGUACCCCGAGGAAAAGAAAUCAACCGAGAUUCCCCCAGUAGCGGCGAGCGAACGGGGAGGAGCCCAGAGCCUGAAUCAGUGUGUGUGUUAGUGGAAGCGUCUGGAAAGGCGCGCGAUACAGGGUGACAGCCCCGUACACAAAAAUGCACAUACUGUGAGCUCGAUGAGUAGGGCGGGACACGUGGUAUCCUGUCUGAAUAUGGGGGGACCAUCCUCCAAGGCUAAAUACUCCUGACUGACCGAUAGUGAACCAGUACCGUGAGGGAAAGGCGAAAAGAACCCCGGCGAGGGGAGUGAAAAAGAACCUGAAACCGUGUACGUACAAGCAGUGGGAGCCUCUUUUAUGGGGUGACUGCGUACCUUUUGUAUAAUGGGUCAGCGACUUAUAUUCUGUAGCAAGGUUAACCGAAUAGGGGAGCCGAAGGGAAACCGAGUCUUAACUGGGCGUUAAGUUGCAGGGUAUAGACCCGAAACCCGGUGAUCUAGCCAUGGGCAGGUUGAAGGUUGGGUAACACUAACUGGAGGACCGAACCGACUAAUGUUGAAAAAUUAGCGGAUGACUUGUGGCUGGGGGUGAAAGGCCAAUCAAACCGGGAGAUAGCUGGUUCUCCCCGAAAGCUAUUUAGGUAGCGCCUCGUGAACUCAUCUCCGGGGGUAGAGCACUGUUUCGGCAAGGGGGUCAUCCCGACUUACCAACCCGAUGCAAACUGCGAAUACCGGAGAAUGUUAUCACGGGAGACACACGGCGGGUGCUAACGUCCGUCGUGAAGAGGGAAACAACCCAGACCGCCAGCUAAGGUCCCAAAGUCAUGGUUAAGUGGGAAACGAUGUGGGAAGGCCCAGACAGCCAGGAUGUUGGCUUAGAAGCAGCCAUCAUUUAAAGAAAGCGUAAUAGCUCACUGGUCGAGUCGGCCUGCGCGGAAGAUGUAACGGGGCUAAACCAUGCACCGAAGCUGCGGCAGCGACACUAUGUGUUGUUGGGUAGGGGAGCGUUCUGUAAGCCUGUGAAGGUGUGCUGUGAGGCAUGCUGGAGGUAUCAGAAGUGCGAAUGCUGACAUAAGUAACGAUAAAGCGGGUGAAAAGCCCGCUCGCCGGAAGACCAAGGGUUCCUGUCCAACGUUAAUCGGGGCAGGGUGAGUCGACCCCUAAGGCGAGGCCGAAAGGCGUAGUCGAUGGGAAACAGGUUAAUAUUCCUGUACUUGGUGUUACUGCGAAGGGGGGACGGAGAAGGCUAUGUUGGCCGGGCGACGGUUGUCCCGGUUUAAGCGUGUAGGCUGGUUUUCCAGGCAAAUCCGGAAAAUCAAGGCUGAGGCGUGAUGACGAGGCACUACGGUGCUGAAGCAACAAAUGCCCUGCUUCCAGGAAAAGCCUCUAAGCAUCAGGUAACAUCAAAUCGUACCCCAAACCGACACAGGUGGUCAGGUAGAGAAUACCAAGGCGCUUGAGAGAACUCGGGUGAAGGAACUAGGCAAAAUGGUGCCGUAACUUCGGGAGAAGGCACGCUGAUAUGUAGGUGAAGUCCCUCGCGGAUGGAGCUGAAAUCAGUCGAAGAUACCAGCUGGCUGCAACUGUUUAUUAAAAACACAGCACUGUGCAAACACGAAAGUGGACGUAUACGGUGUGACGCCUGCCCGGUGCCGGAAGGUUAAUUGAUGGGGUCAGCGCAAGCGAAGCUCUUGAUCGAAGCCCCGGUAAACGGCGGCCGUAACUAUAACGGUCCUAAGGUAGCGAAAUUCCUUGUCGGGUAAGUUCCGACCUGCACGAAUGGCGUAAUGAUGGCCAGGCUGUCUCCACCCGAGACUCAGUGAAAUUGAACUCGCUGUGAAGAUGCAGUGUACCCGCGGCAAGACGGAAAGACCCCGUGAACCUUUACUAUAGCUUGACACUGAACAUUGAGCCUUGAUGUGUAGGAUAGGUGGGAGGCUUAGAAGUGUGGACGCCAGUCUGCAUGGAGCCGACCUUGAAAUACCACCCUUUAAUGUUUGAUGUUCUAACGUUGACCCGUGAUCCGGGUUGCGGACAGUGUCUGGUGGGUAGUUUGACUGGGGCGGUCUCCUCCUAAAGAGUAACGGAGGAGCACGAAGGUUGGCUAAUCCUGGUCGGACAUCAGGAGGUUAGUGCAAUGGCAUAAGCCAGCUUGACUGCGAGCGUGACGGCGCGAGCAGGUGCGAAAGCAGGUCAUAGUGAUCCGGUGGUUCUGAAUGGAAGGGCCAUCGCUCAACGGAUAAAAGGUACUCCGGGGAUAACAGGCUGAUACCGCCCAAGAGUUCAUAUCGACGGCGGUGUUUGGCACCUCGAUGUCGGCUCAUCACAUCCUGGGGCUGAAGUAGGUCCCAAGGGUAUGGCUGUUCGCCAUUUAAAGUGGUACGCGAGCUGGGUUUAGAACGUCGUGAGACAGUUCGGUCCCUAUCUGCCGUGGGCGCUGGAGAACUGAGGGGGGCUGCUCCUAGUACGAGAGGACCGGAGUGGACGCAUCACUGGUGUUCGGGUUGUCAUGCCAAUGGCACUGCCCGGUAGCUAAAUGCGGAAGAGAUAAGUGCUGAAAGCAUCUAAGCACGAAACUUGCCCCGAGAUGAGUUCUCCCUGACUCCUUGAGAGUCCUGAAGGAACGUUGAAGACGACGACGUUGAUAGGCCGGGUGUGUAAGCGCAGCGAUGCGUUGAGCUAACCGGUACUAAUGAACCGUGAGGCUUAACCUU
rnacentral:rRNA from 1 species